CUGCUCCGCGGCGCAAUGGCGGCCGGUGGCAGGGCUCCGCUGCCCGGCCUGAGCCCCAUGAGGGGACAGAGCGCUGGCACAGCCGCCUCAGCCCGGGUCACCCUGGCCCUGCCCGGGCCCGCGUCCCCCGGAGCGCGCCCUGCAGCGCAGAACGCGGCCUCGGAGCCAGGAGCGGGGCCAAUGGCCUUGGCUCGGCAGCGGCGCCGGGAGGCGGCGGGCGGUGCCCUCAGGGCAGGAAAAAUCAUCCAACUCCUCCCAUCUUUGCCAGAAGCUUUGGUGUUUAGGCAGCCAAAGGCAAGAGGCCUCAGCACCAGGGCUCUGUCCUGGAGGGCUCUGCUCCUGCCCACGCUGUGGGUGAGCCAGGGCUGGCACAGGGAAUCGUGCAGGUACUGACCAGAGCUGCUGCCCUUUGGAGCCAUUUUAAAGGCUGUCCUUGCUGGAGCACCCUGGUCCCUGCCAUCCCCAAGCCCUGGGACACAGAGGGAGCCCUGUCCCAAGUGGCUUUGGCACCUUGGCAGGGAUGUGGCAGCAGCCCCAGAGCAGCUGGAGGAGAAAACCUCCCAGCAGAGACAGAUUGCAAUGGAGGCCAGAGUUGUGUUUGGAGCAGGGAGUGCUGGGAGCUGCAUCUGCCUGUGCUGCCACAGCCUGAGCACAGCCUGGGAAAAGGGACUGGGGGAUUUCUGGUGCCCCAGUGAGAAGAACACAAACUCAGCCAUUCAGCCUGACAGGCCCCUCCACCCAGAGCUCAGCACACAUCCUCAGAGCAGCCAGCAGGGAAGGGAGAAGAGGAUCCCUGUGGGAUGAGACUGGAGAGAGCGAGCAGAGGAGCGGCCUCGGGCUGGAGAAAGGCAAAGGGACCAACAUGGUGUCACCAGGGCACCUGUGAGGAACAGAAUGGGCACUUGGAGGCCACAUGGAGGAAGGGGAUGCACAGCUCUGUCUGCAGCACACCUCCAGUGGGACCUACCUGUGAAAGCUUUCCUUCACUUGUGCACUUGCAGCUGGAUCCCUGAAAAACUCCAAACUCCAUCCCACUGAUUUUCAGGUAUCUCUGAGGGCUACUGUCUGGGAUUUAAUACCUGUGGGGGAAGAUUGCCUUGUCUUUAAUGCUGCUGAUGGAUGAUGGCCUCAGGCUGGGGAGGGGAGGGAAGGGAUUUGGGGUGGCUGGGACAUACCUGUAGCUGUGUGGGAGCUCUGAACCGGGAAUUGCUGUGUGAGCCCCUGUGCAAACAGCCUGUGCCUCCAUUCGCAGGUAAUGCCAGCUGCUCCUUGGGGUCCUUCUGGGCUCUUGGUGCUCUGUGUGGGCUGGAGCAUUUCCACGUGCCCGCUCAGAGCAGCCC